AUGUUACCAACAACAUCUUCUCUCACAGAUAGACCAACAAUUCCCAUGAGGUUUUUUACAUACCUUCGAGCUAAAACAUCCUUGUGAGUAUACAAAACCCUGGUUACUGCUGGAGCAGGUGCGUCAAAAAAUCCUGAAAGUUGAUCAAUCUGGUUCUGCAAACCCUGAGCGUCAACAGAUAGUGAAGAGAUGGAAGUGGGUUCGUGAAUUGAGUAACCGGAAAAUUGUUCCAUGGUUGAGAUGAUUGAAGGGUCGUGUUCAUGUUGAUGGGCUGAAAUUGAGGUGCAUAAGCAGAAGAGUAGAAUGACAUAGUGAUGAACCAUUCUGAGUGUGUUGCUCAAAUUCAUCAAACACUCCCUAGUCAUCCAUAGUGCAUUUGAGAUAUAAGAUGCCUUUGCACGUGUAGUCACGAGUUUCAAUCUGGGCAACAUAAGGAUUAAAACAUAAUCCAAGAGAAAGUACAAACUCUUGUGCAAUGUCAGGCCACUUAACAUCAAGGAAACAUAACAGAAUCCAUUGCUUCUUUCAACAUCAAGGCAUGAGCAAGAUUAUUUAUAUCCUCAGACGUGCAAGCAAAGUGAAAAAAUUCAAGCACCUUAGCAAUUUCAGCAUUUGAUUGGCACUUGUGUUUCAAGAAAUACUCUACAGCUUUAACAUCGUGAUUUGUAAUCUUCUCAAAUUUGUUAUGCAAGCGGCACGUGUUAUUCAACCUUCAACGAUGCAAUUGAUUCUAUCCAGCCUUCCAUCAACAAUCUACCAAUAUUCAACAGUCGACGUCGUUUGCAGUUGGUUUCAGUCCAAGAACCGAAAAAUCAAACUUUCCAAUAUGUCAAGGAUGAGGACUCAUUGCAGACCGCUGAUCAAUGUCAUAUAGAGACAGCAGAAUUUCGGCACCAAUCAAAGUAAUAAUGAGCCACUCUAGGAAAUCCGGUUAACGAGAGUUGAUCUUGCUGUAUGUUUCAGGACGAACACCGGGUCUUUUGUCAACCAAAGAGCCAUCAACCUUUUGAGCUACUAAUUGCCAUGAAACAAUUGCACUGUAAUGUUCAACAACGUGAAGUCAUUGGAGAUUCCAAAAGCAAUUUUCGGUUUUUUUUUAUCACAACUCAGGUUUUACUCGGUUGGCAAAGAAACCUGGAGCAGAUUCAACUCCCAAUGCCUCUGCACCACUAAGCCACAUCGUCUCACUCAUAAACCACUUGCGAGAGGGUUUUUGCUUACGUUUUUUAGACAUACGGUUCUUAGUCACAUGCCAAUUCAUGUGACUGCUGUGCUCAUCUUGGGAUUUAAAACGGAGGCCACAAGUUGUGCAUUGAUGGUGGAGGGAAAAGGCUGAAGAGUUUUUUCUGUUGUGGAACUCAGAUAGACUUCUUUCAUUUGAAUUGCUCAUGAUGUAUGCCAUGAAGUUUGAUGUAUGUAGCAUAAAAUGUAUAU